CCUACGGGUGGCAGCAGUGGGGAAUAUUGGACAAUGGGGGGAACCCUGAUCCAGCGACGCCGCGUGAGUGAAGAAGUCUUUCGGUAUGUAAAGCUCUAUCAGCAGGGAAGAAAAUGACGGUACCUGACUAAGAAGCCCCGGCUAACUACGUGCCAGCAGCCGCGGUAAUACGUAGGGGGCAAGCGUUAUCCGGAUUUACUGGGUGUAAAGGGAGCGUAGACGGCAAGGCAAGCCAGAUGUGAAAGGGCAGGGCUCAACCCUGUACAUGCUUUUGGAACUGGGGUGCUAGAGUGCAGGAGAGGUAAGUGGAAUUCCAGGUGUAGCGGUGAAAUGCGUAGAUAUGAGGAGGAACACCAGUGGCGAAGGCGGCUUACUGGACUGUAACUGACGUUGAGGUUCGAAAGCGUGGGGAGCAAACAGGAUUAGAUACCCGGGUAGUC
rnacentral:rRNA from 1 species